UCUUUCUUCUCCUUUUUCUCCCCCUUUCUCUCCUUUCUCCUUUCUCCCUUCUCUUUCUAAACUACCUGUGCUAAGAGAGAAAGAAGGAAUCGCAGAGGAUGUUUGAGGGGGGGAAGAGAUGGGAGGAGGAGAGACAUUUUGAGGAGGAGACUGAUUUCUUGAUUCUAUCUUUCGAUUUGAUUUUUCUGGACCAAGAGAAGA
rnacentral:ribozyme from 13 species